GGCUGGUUAGCUCAGUUAGUUAGAGCAUCAUGCUGAUAACAUGAAUGUCAUGGGACCGAGCCCCAUACUGGCCA
rnacentral:tRNA from 1 species